UACGGAGGAUGCAAGCGUUAUCCGGAAUGAUUGGGCGUAAAGCGUCCGCAGGUGGCUAUGUAAGUCUGCUGUUAAAGAGUGAGGCUCAACCUCAUAAGAGCAGUGGAAACUACAUAGCUAGAGUGCGUUCGGGGCAGAGGGAAUUCCUGGUGUAGCGGUGAAAUGCGUAGAGAUCCGGAGGAACCCCAGAGGCGAAGGCGGCGCCCUGGCUCGCAACUGACGCUCAGACACGACAGCAUGGGGAGCGAACGGG
rnacentral:rRNA from 1 species